rnacentral:lncRNA from 1 species
UUUUUCUGGUCUGUACGUCCGUUCAUCCAUCUGUAUGUUCGUUCGUCCCGCUUCAGGUUUAAGUUUUUGGUCAAGGUAGAUUUUGUUGAAUUUGAAGUCCAAUCGACUUGAAACUUAGUACACAGGUUCCUUUUGAUAUGAUCGUUCUAAUUUUGAUGCCAAAUAAAAGUUUUGACCCCAAUUUCACAGUCCACUGAACAUAGAAAAUGAUAGUGCGAGUGGGGCAUUCGUGUAAUGGGGACACAUUCUUGUUUUUUUAUAUUAUAUGUAUCAUAAAUUUGAUUUUCCCAACUUUUAAUGUUGCUACAUUUGUGUUUACAACCAUAACUGUAGAAAUCUGUUCAUUUCUCUUUUGUUACAAAUAAGUUUGAAUUUGCCACAGUGAUACCGUUAAAUGCAUUGUUGUCCUAGUAAAGGGCACAGUUUUUGUUAAGUGUUUUAUGAUUUUUAUAAUAAAAACUUACUUGGUUGU